rnacentral:lncRNA from 1 species
GCCUCUGCCGCGCGACAGACUCCGUGGAUGCCACCGAGCUCUGAGCCGGUCUCGCAGGGGCGGGCAGAUUUGGUUCUGGAGCUGCCAUGAUUGAAGUGGUAGCUGAGCUGAGCCGAGUGAGGCUCUGGCCUGGGCCAGUGCCCAGAUCCACUGCCAGUUCCAUGCCAGCGAGAGUCGAGUAGCACUGCCACCCCCUGACUCUAGUCAGCCAGAUGUCCAGCCUGACAGCCAGACUGUCUUCCUGCCGCACCGAGGUGAGAGGGGCCAGUGUAUCCUGUCUACUCCACCAAAAAUUCUGUUCUGUGACCUGAGGCUAGACCCUGGAGAGUCCAAAUCAUACUCCUACAGUGAAGUGCUGCCCACAGAGGGGCCACCUUCCUUUCGGGGUCAGUCAGUCAAGUAUGUCUACAAAUUGACCA